GGGAAUCUUCCGCAAUGGGCGAAAGCCUGAUGGAGCAACGCCGCGUGAGUGAAGAAGGCCUUCGGGUUGUAAAGCUCUGUCCUUGGGGAAGAACCGUAGUGAUAGCAAAUGCUCACUACCUGACGGUACCCAUGGAGGGAGCACUGGCUAACUACGUGCCAGCAGCCGCGGUAAUACGUAGAGUGCAAGCGUUGUCCGGAAUCAUUGGGCGUAAAGGGUACGCAGGCGGAUAUGCAAGUCAAAUGUGAAAACUACCGGCUUAACUGGUAGACUGCGUUUGAAACUGUAUAUCUUGAGUGCAGCAGAGGAGAGCGGAAUUUCUAGUGUAGUGGUGGAAUACGUAGAUAUUAGAAAGAACACCAGUGGCGAAGGCGGCUCUCUGGGCUGACACUGACGCUGAGGUACGAAAGCUGGGGGAGCGAAUGGGAUUAGAUACCCCUGUAGUC
rnacentral:rRNA from 1 species